AGGAAUCUGGCCUCUGUGCAAGUUUUUGUUUGUUUGUUUUGUUUUGCUUUGUUUUUUCAUGAUUCAGACUGCCAGAAGCAAGUGCUUGAUAGGCUGUCAAGGAGUGGGUGCAAGAAAACUCUGCCUUUCUGCCCUCAGUGUUUAGCAACUGUACAAGAUGAUAACAAUUUCACAGUUUCCUCCAGAGAGACCAAAGUCAAAGGAAGAAUUUAUUUUUCUUUCAUUUAAAGGAAAAAUUACAAUCUCACUGAAGCUGUAACAGAAAAAUUGAUGUGGCCAACAUUGUUAAGAACGCAACCAAAAUGACAAAAAUAAAUGUUUUAGAAAAAUUGAUUAUUUUAUUCUGC
rnacentral:lncRNA from 1 species